AACGAACGCUGGCGGCAUGCCUAACACAUGCAAGUCGAACGGGAUCCGGACUUCGGUUCGGUGAGAGUGGCGGACGGGUGAGUAACGCGUGGGAACCUGCCCAGUGGUGGGGGAUAACUGCGGGAAACUGCAGCUAAUACCGCAUGAGCCCGAGAGGGGAAAGAUUUAUCGCCAUUGGAGGGGCCCGCGUUCGAUUAGGUAGUUGGUGAGGUAAUGGCUCACCAAGCCGACGAUCGAUAGCUGGUCUGAGAGGAUGAUCAGCCACACUGGGACUGAGAUACGGCCCAGACUCCUACGGGAGGCAGCAGUGGGGAAUAUUGGACAAUGGGGGCAACCUUGAUCCAGCAAUGCCGCGUGAGUGAUGAAGGCCUUCGGGUUGUAAAGCUCUUUUGGCGGGGACGAUGAUGACGGUACCCGCAGAAUAAGCCCCGGCUAACUUCGUGCCAGCCGCCGCAGUAACAC
rnacentral:rRNA from 1 species